UCCCCCGUGGUGUAAUGGCAGCACAGAUGACUUUGACUCAUCUGGUCGAGGUUCAAAUCCUUGCGGGGGAACCA
rnacentral:tRNA from 1 species